rnacentral:lncRNA from 1 species
AAACCGGUCGUGGUUCUGGUGAGCGGGGGUUGUGAGUUAGCAUUAUAUGUCAGUGGGUUAAACCUUAACCCGUUGGACCUUUCGUAGGUUCGGUCGCACCGUCUUCACAGUCGAGAGACCUUCGUCAGAUACGUACAGGUGGGUACUUCGACCCGACGUCGGUACAGUGGUGCACGCUCGGUGACGUUCCUUCCACCCUUCCUAUUUACAUUGCUUAUCAUAUACAUUGCUUAUCAUAUUAUCCUCGUAUUACUCUACUCGAUUGUUUCCAUGCUCGGUAUCUUGUGUAGGAGUAGAGUAGAUUUCUUCAGCAUAUGAUAUCUGUGAUCUGGUUGGUUGAUUCUCCCUUGUUGUAUCUAUGACCUGGUUGGUCGAGUUUCAUACUCCAUACUUGUGACCUGGUUGGUCGAUUUGGUUACAUGAUGACCCAUGCGGUCGAUGGGCCCUGGGGGGCAGGAUUGUCGGCUGGUUGCCGACGGUUGAUCAUUGAGCAUAUUGCAUUGAUCGCCCGAUACUCGUCGCAUUUCACGAACACUGGCGGUCUGAUCCACCGCAAGGAGUGUUCUUUUCCGGAAAAGUGGUUGAAUGGUGACAACCCGUGAGCCCUAAAGGGGUAAUAUGCACUGGAGAGUAGUUGUGGCAUUGGCUUGAGGUCUGCGGUGCUGACCAAGAGAGCAGUGGGUUCAGAUUGGGUACUUUUGGACUGAUUGUCCCCUUGAUGCAUACAUACAGUAG